rnacentral:rRNA from 1 species
UUUUUAUGGCCCGGUCUCCAGCUCGUUUUCGGGAGAAUGUCAGGUUUAAGUCCCGGCAAAAGAGGGCAACCCUUCCCCCUUAGAUGCCCACCCUUCAGCCGGGACACUCCAAGGAGUCUGCCGGGGCUAACCCGGGAGAAAGCCGGGGACAAGCCAAAGUAUCCUGGGCCUGACGGCAAGGGCUCACCCCCGUUACCCAAGGGGGUACACAAGGGCCACAAAGCCAGAGACGAGGGGGUAAUCCCAAAAACCCGUCUCAGUUCGGAUUGGAGUCUGCAACUCGACGACCAUGAAGUUGGAA